GACGAACGCUGGCGGCGUGCCUAAUACAUGCAAGUAGAACGCUGAAGGGGGAGCUUGCUUCUCUUGAUGAGUUGCGAACGGGUGAGUAUCACGUAGGUAACCUGCCCGGUAGCGGGGGAGAACUAUUGGAAACGAUAGCUAAUACCGCAUAAGAGUAGAUGUUGCAUGACAUUUGCUAAAAAAGUGCAAUUGUGUCACUACCAGAUGGACCUGCGUUGUAUUAGCUAGUUGGUGAGGUAACGGCUGACUAAGGCGCCGAUCCAUAGCGGACCUGGGAGGGGAACGGCCCACACUGGAAUGAGGCAACGCCCAGGACUCCAAGGGAGGCAGCCGUAAGGAAUCUUCCGCAAUGGGCGGAAGUCUGACCGAGCAACGCCGCGUGAGUGAAGGAGGUUUUCCGAACGUAAAAAUCUGUUGAUAGGGAAGAACGAAUGGGAUAAGGGAAAGUUCACGCUGUGACGGUACCUAACCAGAAAGCGACGGCUAACUACGUG
rnacentral:rRNA from 1 species